GCCAUCGUGGGGCUCUCGGCGGCCGCGUUCCCAAAGGGAUACGGGACCGAUCAAUAUUGCUGGCUGUCCCUCGAGCGCGGCUUCCGCUGGAGCUUCCGGGGCCCCGUCAUCGUCAUCACCGCCGCCAACGCCGUCAUCCUCGUUGUCACCCUCUGGAAGUUGGUGCAGAAAUUCCACGAGGUCACCCCGGACAUGGGGACCCUGCGCCGG